rnacentral:rRNA from 1 species
UACGGAGGGUGCAAGCGUUAUCCGGAUUUACUGGGUUUAAAGGGUGCGUAGGUGGGUAGGAAAGUCAGUGGUGAAAUCUUCGGGCUUAACCCGGAAACUGCCAUUGAUACUAUUUAUCUUGAAUACUUUGGAGGUAAGCGGAAUAUGUCAUGUAGCGGUGAAAUGCUUAGAUAUGACAUAGAACACCUAUUGCGAAGGCAGCCCACUACGCAACUAUUGACGCUGAGGCACGAAAGCGUGGGGAUCAAACAGG